rnacentral:lncRNA from 1 species
CCCGGGCUAAAAUUGGGUAUUACAGUGAUAUCCUUGAAACUUUUAGAGCAAUAAUUUUGAAACUGCCUUGGGUAUUGUGAUACUGACCUAUGGGUAUCCCGAUACCACUAUAAUGUAUCCAAAAAAGAAAUCUUAUUUUUUUAGUCUAAACUCUCAACUACACAAAAAUUAAACCUACAAAAUCCUAAAUUUAAACAUG